GUACUAAUUCACACCUAUAAAGCACUGAACAACUCUAGCCCCUCUUAUAUGUAAGUUGAGUUGUUCAGUGCUUUAUAGGUGUGAAUUAUAUCUAAGAGGGGCUAGAGUUGUUCAGUGCUUUAUAGGUGUGAAUUAGUACCU